AUUGAACGCUGGCGGCAGGCUUAACACAUGCAAGUCGAGCGGAGAUGAGGUGCUUGCACCUUAUCUUAGCGGCGGACGGGUGAGUAAUGCUUAGGAAUCUGCCUAUUAGUGGGGGACAACAUUCCGAAAGGAAUGCUAAUACCGCAUACGCCCUACGGGGGAAAGCAGGGGAUCUUCGGACCUUGCGCUAAUAGAUGAGCCUAAGUCGGAUUAGCUAGUUGGUGGGGUAAAGGCCUACCAAGGCGACGAUCUGUAGCGGGUCUGAGAGGAUGAUCCGCCACACUGGGACUGGAACACGGCCCAGACUCCUACGGGAGGCAGCAGUGGGGAAUAUUGGACAAUGGGCGGAAGCCUGAUCCAGCCAUGCCGCGUGUGUGAAGAAGGCCUUUUGGUUGUAAAGCACUUUAAGCGAGGAGGAGGCUACCUGGAUUAAUACUCUAGGAUAGUGGACGUUACUCGCAGAGUAAGCACCGGCUAACUCUGUGCCAGCCGCCGCUGUAAAAC
rnacentral:rRNA from 1 species